rnacentral:rRNA from 1 species
ACUAAGCGUACACGGUGGAUGCCCUGGCAGUCAGAGGCGAUGAAGGACGUGCUAAUCUGCGAUAAGCGCCGGUAAGGUGAUAUGAACCGUUAUAACCGGCGAUUUCCGAAUGGGGAAACCCAGUGUGAUUCGUCACACUAUCAUUAACUGAAUCCAUAGGUUAAUGAGGCGAACCGGGGGAACUGAAACAUCUAAGUACCCCGAGGAAAAGAAAUCAACCGAGAUUCCCCCAGUAGCGGCGAGCGAACGGGGAGGAGCCCAGAGCCUGAAUCAGCAUGUGUGUUAGUGGAAGCGUCUGGAAAGGCGCGCGAUACAGGGUGACAGCCCCGUACACAAAAGCGCAUGUGUUGUGAGCUCGAUGAGUAGGGCGGGACACGUGGUAUCCUGUCUGAAUAUGGGGGGACCAUCCUCCAAGGCUAAAUACUCCUGACUGACCGAUAGUGAACCAGUACCGUGAGGGAAAGGCGAAAAGAACCCCGGCGAGGGGAGUGAAAAAGAACCUGAAACCGUGUACGUACAAGCAGUGGGAGCUGAGGGAAAGGCGAAAAGAACCCCGGCGAGGGGAGUGAAAAAGAACCUGAAACCGUGUACGUACAAGCAGUGGGAGCCCCACCACUAAGCCAGUGGUGAACUCCACAUACGCAUCCUUUGCUGAGGAUACGGUUAACGGAGCGCAAGCGACGUUCAACCGCAAAAGAAGCAGAGGGGGCUUAGUGGUGGGGUGACUGCGUACCUUUUGUAUAAUGGGUCAGCGACUUAUAUUCUGUAGCAAGGUUAACCGUAUAGGGGAGCCGGAGGGAAACCGAGUCUUAAUUGGGCGUUAAGUUGCAGGGUAUAGACCCGAAACCCGGUGAUCUAGCCAUGGGCAGGUUGAAGGUUGGGUAACACUAACUGGAGGACCGAACCGACUAAUGUUGAAAAAUUAGCGGAUGACCUGUGGCUGGGGGUGAAAGGCCAAUCAAACCGGGAGAUAGCUGGUUCUCCCCGAAAGCUAUUUAGGUAGCGCCUCGUGAACUCAUCUCCGGGGGUAGAGCACUGUUUCGGCUAGGGGGCCAUCCCGGCUUACCAACCCGAUGCAAACUGCGAAUACCGGAGAAUGUUAUCACGGGAGACACACGGCGGGUGCUAACGUCCGUCGUGAAGAGGGAAACAACCCAGACCGCCAGCUAAGGUCCCAAAGUCAUGGUUAAGUGGGAAACGAUGUGGGAAGGCCCAGACAGCCAGGAUGUUGGCUUAGAAGCAGCCAUCAUUUAAAGAAAGCGUAAUAGCUCACUGGUCGAGUCGGCCUGCGCGGAAGAUGUAACGGGGCUAAACCAUGCACCGAAGCUGCGGCAGCGAACGUAUCACUUAAAGCGAUUCAGCGGGUUACGAUUGACGGAGCGAAGCGACGUCAAAGCGUAUACAAAGUCGAGUCGGUUUAAGGAUACGUUCGUUGGGUAGGGGAGCGUUCUGUAAGCCUGUGAAGGUGGCCUGUGAGGGUUGCUGGAGGUAUCAGAAGUGCGAAUGCUGACAUAAGUAACGAUAAAGCGGGUGAAAAGCCCGCUCGCCGGAAGACCAAGGGUUCCUGUCCAACGUUAAUCGGGGCAGGGUGAGUCGACCCCUAAGGCGAGGCCGAAAGGCGUAGUCGAUGGGAAACGGGUUAAUAUUCCCGUACUUGGUGUUACUGCGAAGGGGGGACGGAGAAGGCUAUGUUGGCCGGGCGACGGUUGUCCCGGUUUAAGCGUGUAGGUGUGUGUUCCAGGUAAAUCCGGUUCACUUUAACACUGAGGCGUGAUGACGAGGCACUACGGUGCUGAAGCAACAAAUGCCCUGCUUCCAGGAAAAGCCUCUAAGCAUCAGGUAACAUCAAAUCGUACCCCAAACCGACACAGGUGGUCAGGUAGAGAAUACCAAGGCGCUUGAGAGAACUCGGGUGAAGGAACUAGGCAAAAUGGUGCCGUAACUUCGGGAGAAGGCACGCUGACAUGUAGGUGAAGUGAUUUACUCAUGGAGCUGAAGUCAGUCGAAGAUACCAGCUGGCUGCAACUGUUUAUUAAAAACACAGCACUGUGCAAACACGAAAGUGGACGUAUACGGUGUGACGCCUGCCCGGUGCCGGAAGGUUAAUUGAUGGGGUCAGCGCAAGCGAAGCUCCUGAUCGAAGCCCCGGUAAACGGCGGCCGUAACUAUAACGGUCCUAAGGUAGCGAAAUUCCUUGUCGGGUAAGUUCCGACCUGCACGAAUGGCGUAAUGAUGGCCAGGCUGUCUCCACCCGAGACUCAGUGAAAUUGAACUCGCUGUGAAGAUGCAGUGUACCCGCGGCAAGACGGAAAGACCCCGUGAACCUUUACUAUAGCUUGACACUGAACAUUGAGCCUUGAUGUGUAGGAUAGGUGGGAGGCUUUGAAGUGUGGACGCCAGUCUGCAUGGAGCCGACCUUGAAAUACCACCCUUUAAUGUUUGAUGUUCUAACGUGGACCCGUAAUCCGGGUUGCGGACAGUGUCUGGUGGGUAGUUUGACUGGGGCGGUCUCCUCCUAAAGAGUAACGGAGGAGCACGAAGGUUGGCUAAUCCUGGUCGGACAUCAGGAGGUUAGUGCAAUGGCAUAAGCCAGCUUGACUGCGAGCGUGACGGCGCGAGCAGGUGCGAAAGCAGGUCAUAGUGAUCCGGUGGUUCUGAAUGGAAGGGCCAUCGCUCAACGGAUAAAAGGUACUCCGGGGAUAACAGGCUGAUACCGCCCAAGAGUUCAUAUCGACGGCGGUGUUUGGCACCUCGAUGUCGGCUCAUCACAUCCUGGGGCUGAAGUAGGUCCCAAGGGUAUGGCUGUUCGCCAUUUAAAGUGGUACGCGAGCUGGGUUUAGAACGUCGUGAGACAGUUCGGUCCCUAUCUGCCGUGGGCGCUGGAGAACUGAGGGGGGCUGCUCCUAGUACGAGAGGACCGGAGUGGACGCAUCACUGGUGUUCGGGUUGUCAUGCCAAUGGCACUGCCCGGUAGCUAAAUGCGGAAGAGAUAAGUGCUGAAAGCAUCUAAGCACGAAACUUGCCCCGAGAUGAGUUCUCCCUGAGACUUAAAGUCUCCUGAAGGAACGUUGAAGACGACGACGUUGAUAGGCCGGGUGUGUAAGCGCAGCGAUGCGUUGAGCUAACCGGUACUAAUGAACCGUGAGGCUUAACC